GAUGAACGCUGGCGGCGUGCUUAACACAUGCAAGUCGAACGAACCUUCGGGUUAGUGGCGGACGGGUGAGUAACGCGUGGGAAUCUGCCCUCAGGAGGGGGAUAACGGCUGGAAACGGCCGCUAAUACCCCAUAUGCCGCGAGGUGAAAUGAAUUUCGCCUGAGGAUGAGCCCGCGUCUGAUUAGCUAGUUGGUGGGGUAAAGGCCUACCAAGGCGACGAUCAGUAGCUGGUCUGAGAGGAUGAUCAGCCACACUGGGACUGAGACACGGCCCAGACUCCUACGGGAGGCAGCAGUGGGGAAUUUUCCGCAAUGGGCGAAAGCCUGACGGAGCAACGCCGCGUGAGGGAUGAAGGCCUCUGGGCUGUAAACCUCUUUUCUCAAGGAAGAAGACCUGACGGUACUUGAGGAAUAAGCCACGGCUAAUUCCGUGCCAGCCGCCGCUGUAA
rnacentral:rRNA from 1 species